rnacentral:rRNA from 1 species
GAUGAACGCUGGCGGCGUGCUUAACACAUGCAAGUCGAACGAGAAGUGAAGACGGAAACCUUCGGGCGGAAGGCUUUAUUUCGAGUGGCGGACGGGUGAGUAACGCGUGGGUAACCUGCCUCAUCCAGGGGGAUAACAGUUGGAAACGACUGUUAAUACCGCAUAAGACCACAGCACCGCAUGGUGCGGGGGUAAAAACUCCGGUGGUAUGAGAUGGACCCGCGUUCGAUUAGCCAGUUGGCGGGGUAACGGCCCACCAAAGCGACGAUCGAUAGCCGAUCUGAGAGGAUGACCGGCCACAUUGGGACUGAGACACGGCCCGAACUCCUACGGGAGGCAGCAGUGGGGAAUAUUGCACAAUGGGGGAAAGCCUGAUGCAGCGACGCCGCGUGAGUGAAGAAGUAUUUCGGUAUGUAAAGCUCUAUCAGCAGGGAAGAAAAUGACGGUACCUGAGGAAGAAGCCCCGGCUAACUACGUG